AAAUAAUUUAAUUUAAAAAUAUUAAUAUGUAAUGUUAAAGAGGAAUAGGUGAUAGGUGAUUAGGAAAACCUUUAAAAUGACAAAUGUAAUUAUCUUCUAGAGACGAAAGGAGUAUUCCAUAUUCCAUUCUCGAUUCCGAUUAGUAAGAAUAAAGUGACGUUAUUGGUUAGAGUAUGCUUAAAUCAAGUACUCCAAAGUCAACUACUUCAUAAGCUACCCCGAGAAUCCAACUGAGAAGCUAACUAUACUUGUCUUCCAAAUCAACCACCCUUCAUUCUUAAAUUUCUCCUUCAAAUUCCAUCAAAAUCAAAUUCAAAUUCAAUCAAUUACUCAAACAUGGCGAUGCCUUGGAGUAUGACGUUAUGGAUAUCAAAGAUGGUAUGGUUGGCACUUGCCGGUUGGAUUUCUUCUUGUUUAAUCGUAGCCGAUGAAGUUGCCAGCUCUAUUCGUACUGGUGAUAUUGGUGCCUUCCAUGUCGGUUGAUUUCUUCUCUUUUUUUAUAUUAAUUUUUUGAAUGAAAGAGCAUAGUUAGCUGCCAGAAUUUGUCUUGGACUCUUGGGUGCCUGGAGGUGAUUGUGCGUUACUCUGUAUAUUCUGUUCCUAGCACUUCAGUCCGUAGCAGCAAGAAUUGUUUCGAGCACUUCUUGAGCAGUAGGAUAUCUGGUACUGGGGCCAUGGGUCGGUGAUUCCAGUGGCAGUGACAUGCAUCUGCCAUCCUUAUGUCAGAUUGCUAGGAUAAUGUAGUAUUCCCAACUCCCAAGCCCCCAAUGCCCAGGCCAGGUCAAAGGUGAGCCCUGAGGUCACUGUAGCUUAGGCCAAGCAGCUUAUUCACACUGCUUCCAUUUUCAGAGAUGCAUGUGAUCAUGAGGUUUUGGGUUAGUUUUUAACUGAUACAUGAGGUUUCUUAUGAGAAGUUCAACGGGCUGCUCAGUUAACUCUGACGUUCUCAAGGCAUGGUGCUGCUCUUACUUUGGAUGAGAAUGUUUCUCUGAUAUAGUUGUAUGGAUUCAUUGUGCAAAUAUUAGGAAAAUAUGGAACGAUGUGGCUGUGUUUCAUGAUUUUUUUUAAUGAACAUGUAAUUUCUGUGUGAUCAAUCAUCAAUGCGUCUAACUUUGUGUCUGAUUGAGGCAUCAUGUAAUGUUUUCACAACAUUUUUGCAGGAAGCAUCAGUCUUUCCACCUCAUUUGUAUUUUAUACAAAGAAAAUGAGGAUUUUGUAUAUAUAUUCAUAUUAGAAACGGAGAGGAUGUAUUUUAAACCACAUAAAAUCACCAUACAUCACAAAUUCAAUAUGGCAUCGAGGGAGGGAAUUUUUAUUUGAAGCGGUAAGCCUCGAAUCGUUGCUCACUCGUAGAAGCUGGUAAUACAGGUUUCUGUCAAACACAUGAUACAUUGCAUACAUACAGUACUUGUAAAUGUAACCUCAACUCUCUUGCUUCUAAAUGCUGUCAAGUAAAGAUCAAAUUACAAUACGAUGUGUAGUCUAAAGACAAAGUCAACUAAUUUUUUUUAAGAUCAAGCUUCCUUUUCUGAUGUAUUUUGCAUUCUAAAAGGAGUUAAGCAGGCAACAGAACAUGGCAUUUGCGCUUAUGAUUCGGAUGGUCCAGCUACAUGUUUAUAGACAGAGUCAACUAAGUUUUUGUAAGAUCAAGCUUCUUUUUGUGCCUAUAAUUUUCCUAGAAUUUUGUGCCUUCCCUACUGCUCCGAUUAUUAUGAAAUAGAGGGAGUACCAAACAAGGCUUUAGUGAAACAGAUUUUUGUGUGUGUAUAUAUAGAGCCACAACGGAGAGUGAUGUUAACAUAGGACCCAAUAUUUAACCAACCAAGGUGGCUGACAAUCUGCAUCAACAAGCAUGAUGCAAUGAAAAGGAGGAGAGCACAAAGUUGAAUUUGCAAGGGUAUGAUAGACUGAUAGUAUGACAAAUGUAGCAAGUUAGUCCAUAUCGUCCACUCCAUUUUGUCAAAAUGUUCAGACUAGUCUUUUUUAUAUGGUUGAUCUAAUGCCAAAAAUAGUCACAAUUUAUCAGAAUUAUGUAACUAAUCAAUCAAUAUUAUUUUAGAGAAAAUGUGAUAAUUAUGAUAAAUAAAGAUGGUUUUAUAUUCCGUAUAAUUAAACUUCAAGCACACUAAAAAAAUGUUGGCUCACUUGGUAAGAUUCGAAUCUCAGGUAUUUGGGGGUAGGAAUUCCCUUACUCUCCAUUCUACUCCCAAGCGUCUUACCCGCAAAUACUAGACCAAAAAAACGAGAGAGUUGAGGUAUGAUCAGGGUCUUCUUACCAUUAGAAAAAAAAAAAAACUAAACUUUAAGCACAUCAACCACCACCCAUCUUCUUCUUCCCUCACCCCACAACCACAACCAAUCCAAAACUCAAAACCCCAAUGAAUUGUAAUACCAAAGAAACCCAAACCCCCAAAAUUUUUAUCUCCUCGUUUAGAAAUGUUGAUGUUGGUCAUGGUUAAAAAAAAAAACUUGCAAGACUUGGGCGUUUAGUAAUUAGAAGUCAACGAUAUGUGUUUUACAUUUAUUUGUUCACUUCCAUCUCAAGUACUAGAACUGGACAAUCAAUCUGUAAGUUAAGUAGAAUAAAAUAGAAGCUUUUGAGCCAUCCUUAAGCUUUUGCUGUAAUGGCAGAAGCAAUUCUCAUGGCAGUCACAAAGUCUGUUGUUGAAAAGCUUGCUUCCUUCGCAGCUGAUCUUGCAUUGACCUCGGCUACAGAAGAGAUCAGAGCUGCCAAAGCAGCUAGAAAAGAUCUCAAGACGAUGGCGAGCAAACUUUCUGUCAUUUGUGCUGUUCUUGAAGAUGCAGAGCGGAGGCAGUACGCUAACGAGUCCAUUAAAAUUUGGCUAAGAGAUCUCAAGGAUGUUGUUUACGACAUUGAUGAUCUUCUCGAUGAAGUUUCGACUUAUGCUUUGCAGCGUACUGCCAAUGAAGGUCAUUUGCUUAUCCAGCUGAGGUACUGUUUUUCCUCUAAUCCUGUUAUUAUUCGUUUUUGAGUUGAGCAACAAAAUAAAAGAUCUCCGUGAAAAAUUAGAUGAUAUAGUGGCUAAGAAAAAUGAUUUUGGAUUGACUGAGCAUCCAGUUGAAAUCACACAUGUAGAGCGGAACCCUUUAGAUACAUGUGCUUAUGUGAAUAUGUCAGACAUUAUUGGAAGAGAUGAGGCUAGACAGGAUGUUGUAAAUAUAUUAUCAGCUAUUGGUGGUGCUCGUAAUCAUCCGCCUGUGCUUCCUAUAGUAGGAUUGGGAGGUGUUGGGAAAACUGCAUUAGCAAAGUUGGUGUACCAUGAUGAGUGGGUUGUACGUGCAUUUGAUAUCAAGCUUUGGGCAUGUAUCUCGCAUAAAUUUGACAUUCAGAAAAUCAUGGAGGAUAUUAUAUAAUCCGCUGUUGAUGAUAAUUUGUCAAAUCUAGGCUUAGGUCGAGUUUUAGAGAAACUUCAAGAUUUGCUGAGGGGAAAGAAAUAUUUUCUUGUGCUAGAUGAUAUAUGGUUACAUGACAUUGCACUGUGGACUGAGUUUAAGAACAUGCUAGCAGUUGGUAACGAUGAAAGUGUGAUUUUGGUCACUACAAGACAUGCAAAUGUUGCAUCUGUCAUUGGAACUGUAAAGCCGUAUUAUUUGGCUGGGCUUUCAGAUCACUGUUCUUGGUCUAUCUUCGAGCAAUUAGCGUUCAUUGAAGGAGAUGAACAGAGAUAUCCAGAUCUUGUUCAAAUUGGAAGAUCUAUUGUGAAGAAAUGUGUUGGAGUUCCACUUCUUGUUAAAACGUUAGCGAGUUUUUUACGUAAUGAGAGAAACAAGAGUGAAUGGCUACAGGUUGAUAGAAAAACCAGCCUUGUAGAGGUGCAAACUCAAUGCACUAAUGUGAUGCGAAUUUUGAAAUUGAGCUAUGAUAAGCUUCCUUCUCACUCAAAACCUUCAAAUAUUAGAGAUUGUAGGGGUUCCAAAAUUGGUUUCUUUGCCGGAUGAUCUCCAAUCUGCUGCGACCUCUCUUCUAAGUCUCUCAAUCGGAUGCUGCAUAAGUACUACUCAGCUUCCUAAUUGGCUGCAAGAUUUCAUACAUCUUCGAAGACUUCACAUUUACGAUUGCCCAAAUUUGUUGGCUUUGCCCAAGGGAUUUCGACAUCUCCAUUCUUUGGAGACUCUGAGGAUCCGAAAUUGCUCCCAUUUGACAACUAGAUGCGCUAAACCUUAUGGAGAAGAGUUCUGUAACAUACAGCAUGUCCGCGAAUUUUUUCUUGACAAUCAACUAGUCAGAUGACUCCAAACUCUAUCCAGCAGAUCAGCCUUGGCAGAAGUUGAGCUGGAGCUGGAUACUAAUAUAAAUGAAUUGAGCUAGUCAUAGCUAGUUGCUUGGCCGUGGUAUGGUAAAUUGCCAAGUCUCAUACCAUAAGUAGGUACACCCUAGGAUACUUACAUGGCAUGGAAGAAUUUGAAGGCAUGAAUGCACAAGGGUUUGAUUCAAAUGGACACGUCUUCGAACCUACUUAACAUUUGAAGGUGAUUUAUUUUGGAGGUGACUGCUCAUCUCAAGAGCUUGCACGCACGAAACGGACUGGUAGAGAGGGAGUUAUGAUGCUUAAAGUUGUCCUGAUUGUAUGGUCAAAUGCCGGUGUUGGACCUAAAUGUCUGUUUUGAAGCCUUUUUUUUUUUUUUUUGAAUUCCUUCCUAUAUUCAGAAGAAAGAAAACAGGGGAUUAAGAAGUUUGCUUAAAUUUUAGGUGUGGAUAUAUUAGGCUUGAAGAGGCAUGUUUGCGUUGGUUGGAGUUGGAGUUGUUGGACUAAGGAUGUAGUUUCUUUAUUUGGUGUAAGAGCUAGCUACAAUUUAGGUCACACUUCGCAAAAAUCUGACCUAUGUAGUUAAGGAUAUGCCCACUUAUGUAUUUUUAAGCCUGGAUAGUAUUGGUAUGUUA